rnacentral:rRNA from 1 species
GAUGAACGCUGGCGGCGUGCCUAAUACAUGCAAGUCGAGCGAACGGACGAGAAGCUUGCUUUUCUGAUGUUAGCGGCGGACGGGUGAGUAACACGUGGAUAACCUACCUAUAAGACUGGGAUAACUUCGGGAAACCGGAGCUAAUACCGGAUAAUAUUUUGAACCGCAUGGUUCAAAAGUGAAAGACGGUCUUGCUGUCACUUAUAGAUGGAUCCGCGCUGCAUUAGCUAGUUGGUAAGGUAACGGCUUACCAAGGCAACGAUGCAUAGCCGACCUGAGAGGGUGGUCCGCCACAAUGGAAAUUGAACACGGGCCCGAAUCCUACGGGAGGCCACAGUAGGGAAACUUCCGCAAUGGGCGAAAGCCUGACGGAGCAACGCCGCGUGAGUGAUGAAGGUCUUCGGAUCGGAAAACUCUGUUAUUAGGGAAGAACAUAUGUGUAAGUAACUGUGCACAUCUUGACGGUACCUAAUCAGAAAGCGACGGCUAACUACGUG